ACGAACGCUGGCGGCACGCUUAACACAUGCAAGUCGAACGGUAACGGGUCUUUCGGGAUGCCGACGAGUGGCGAACGGGUGAGUAACGCGUGGAUACCUAUCCUAUGGUGGGGAAUAACGUUUAGAAAUGAACGCUAAUACCGCAUAAGCCCUUCGGGGGAAAGAUUUAUCGCCAUAGGAGGGGUCUGCGUCGGAUUAGCUAGUUGGUGGGGUAAAGGCCUACCAAGGCGACGAUCCGUAGCUGGUCUGAGAGGAUGAUCAGCCACACUGGGACUGAGACACGGCCCAGACUCCUACGGGAAGCAGCAGUGGGGAAUAUUGCGCAAUGGGGGAAACCCUGACGCAGCGAUGCCGCGUGGGUGAAGAAGGCCUUAGGGUUGUAAAGCCCUUUCAGUAGGAAAGAUGAUGACGGUACCUACAGAAGAAGCACCGGCUAACUCCGU
rnacentral:rRNA from 1 species